rnacentral:misc_RNA from 1 species
UUUCCGUAGGUGAACCUGCGGAAGGAUCAUUACAGAGUUCAUGCCCGAAAGGGUAGACCUCCCACCCUUGUGUAUUAUUACUUUGUUGCUUUGGCGAGCGCAAGGUCGCCAGCGAAUACCAAAACACUUUUUAUUAAUGUCGUCUGAGUACUAUGUAAUAGUUAAAACUUUCAACAACGGAUCUCUUGGUUCUG